rnacentral:rRNA from 1 species
UACGUAGGGUGCAAGCGUUUAAUCGGAAUUACUGGGCGUAAAGCGUGCGCAGGCGGUUGUGCAAGACAGAUGUGAAAUCCCGGGGCUCAACCUCGGAACUGCCUUUGAUACUGCAAGUCUCGAGUCCGGGAAGAGGUGGGUGGAAUUCCUAGUGUAGAGGUGAAAUUCGUAGAUAUUAGGAAGAACACCCAGUGGCGAAGGCGGCCCACUGGUCCGGGUACUGACGCUGAGGUGCGAAAGCGUGGGGAGCAAACAGG